UACGUAGGGAGCAAGCGUUGCCCGGAAUUACUGGGCGUAAAGAGCUCGUAGGCGGGGGCGUGCGUCCGAGAAGAAAUCUCAAGGCUCAACCUUGGGGCUAUCUCGGAUACGGCGCUUCUUGAGGGUGAGAGAGGAAAGCGGAAUUCCAGAUGUAGCGGUGAAAUGCGUAGAUAUCUGGAGGAACACCAGCGGCGAAGGCGGCUUUCUGGCUCAUUCCUGACGCUGAGGAGCGAAAGCGUGGGUAGCGAACGGG
rnacentral:rRNA from 1 species